UUCUAAAAAGGAAUACGGAAAAUACAUGGCAUCAUUUUGCUAGUGAAAACAAAAGUAUUUCAAUGCAUGGCCUUGAUUGGAUAGGACUGAUAUUGAUCAUAUUAUAAUUAGUAAUUAAUUGGAAGCAUUUUUUGUUAAAAUGUUUCAAGUGCACAAGAUUUAAAGUGGACAUAAUUUGUAUCUUUAAAUCAUUGUGUUGCUAAAAACCUAUGCUAUACAAUAAAUGGUUUUUGUUGGGGUUUUUUUUUAGUAGACGAUAAUCUUUUUAAGUGCAGGGACUGUAUCUGAUUGUGUAUUUGUGUCCCUAGUACUUAGCACAGAGUCUGUAAGUCACAUAGUAAGCUGUUAAUGCUUUUUCAUUCAUUUUUCGUACAUUGAUAGGUGUGGAUAUACUCCAAAGCCUUAACUCUAUGCAUUCCCAGUGAGGCAUGGGUAGAUUUCCUACUUUCAGGAAGAUCCCAAUAGGGCACCCCCUUUGGGAAAGGAGGCAUGGAGAAUAGGAGGAGCUCCCCCCUAUCCCUGACACCUGCUGGAAAGGGGAUUUCCAGAGAGAACAUUCAGAAAAAUUUCUGAACAAUCAAAGUUAUCCAUGAAGGAAAUGGGCUGUUUGAUGAGGUUCUUAAAGCAAACAUAUAAUGUCAGAUCCAGAGGGAACCCUAGAACACAGAAUACCUGAGCUAGAAGGGAACUUAGAGGUCAUCUAAGCAUGGCAUCACCUCCCUGAUCUCAUGGUUCUCUUUGAAGAGCAAAGAGCAACGACAACAGCAGCAUGGAGUGGUAGAGAGAGCUCUAGACUUGUGGCCAGUCAAGCUGUUCUGGGACCAGCUUUAACCUGCUCGCAAAGCAGACUGUACAUUUUCAGCAUGAGGAGUGUAAGCAUUUAAAUACACCUCAGGAAGCCAGCGAAUGCUUGCUUUAUUGUUUUGUCGCUUGC